rnacentral:lncRNA from 1 species
GUGAGUCUCUUAUAAUUAUCAAUUCUAUCUCUUAUGUUUUCAAUACCAGUAUUACUAGUAGUAGUUCUUCUUUAGAGCAAGCACAGUUGGAUGGAGGACAUCCACCGUUCCACCGACUACAUACAUGGCUAGGCAUGUGUGCCACCAUGGGCUACAGUUUUUUUUUUCCCCUUCUCCAUGAUUAAACAACAAAAGCUGGGUAGUGUGGCUUACGAAACUACUAGUGAUCAGUUAGUGGCUUUAAUUUGUAUGGACAAGAAUUUGAGUUUUUUUUUUUUUUUGGGUGAUGCUCAAUUUUUUUGGACAAGAGAAAUCCAAGACCAGGUAUAUGAUGAGAAGCAAAAUCUGGUGACCAUCACCGUGGUGUGCUGUAGCCCCGAGAAAAUCCGCGACCAAUUAUGUUGCAAGGGUGGUAAAGUCAUUAAGAGUAUUGAGAUCGUGGAGCCACCAAAGCCUAAAGAGCCCGAAAAGCCCAAGCCACCACUUGCAGUGGCGGUCUGCUGUGUCCUAUGUUCGGAAGGGUACGGAGGGGGACGAUGCUGCUGCAGGAACUGGCGGCCUGUGCCCCCGCACGCGUGCGGGUGCGGAUACCGGUAUAGUCAUUGUGAUUAGUUCAGUGAGCAGAUCACUGGCGACUGUACGAUUAUGUGAGAGGAGAGGAGAGGAGAAUUUGAUAUGGGGAAUGAUAUGAUAUGAAAAGCAUCCAAAUUAAUCAUUUAAUUUUGUUUGGUGGGCGGUACAUGCAAAUGCAUUGAAGCAAAAUAAUACUAGCAGUAUUGUGUAGUUAGGGCCUUCAUAGGACCUAUAAUAUAAAAGGAAGAAGAAAAUAAAGUUAAUGUGCAUGCUAUUAUGGAGUAUAUAUAUAGAGAGACGUACAUGUGGGGACUGAUUCAAGUUGGAAGUCACUUAGAAUAAGCUUUUGUAUGUACCCUAAUGAAUAAGUUUUCUUUAAGUGUCAAGGCACACUUUUGUAAAGAUGUUUGAGAGCCGUUGCUCAGAUAUUGUAUAGUUUUGACAUAUUAAUAAAAAUUUUAUCGUUUCGGAAAAGAAAAAAAAAAUGUCAUUGCAUCAAAUUUUUUUCAUUGUUUAUAAUAAUAAUAAUAAUAAUAAUAAUAGAAAUGAUGUCGUUAAAAGUGCAUGUACUCUCUUCUUCUUCUUCUUUAUUAUUAUUAUUUUUAGAUUUCAUUUUCUCGCUUUGCUCUCUAGUAGUAGUAGUAGUAGUGUUAGUAAAUUAAUGUGCUAGUGUAGAUGUUCUAGAUACACAUCUUCUUUCCUGUUUCUUCAUUUCUUAAAUCUCUCCAUUCUUUGCCAGAAAUAAAAUUAAAAAUAAAAUUUUAUAUAUAUAUAUAAGUAGUAAUGUGCUAGCGUCACAGGAAGGAAUGCAGAAAGGAGCCAGUAGUACUUAACAGUCACUUGGGAUCCUCGGUGACAUAUUUUCUAUGCCAAUCCAAUACCACCUCUAAUAUUACGCCAAGUGUCCUAUUAUUAUUUGCACUUUAAUUUUCUAAUAAUUUAAAUUGAUUUGAUUUGACACAAGUUUUCUUUACCUUCUAAACCUUUAAACCAAAAUUAACCGACCGGACCAAUGAUACUCAUCUUAUUACUUGAGCAAGCAGUGAAGUGCGCUGCCAUGGCCGCCCGCUCCAUCGUCCUCACUAUGGCUCAGUAACAACUGACAAAUGGCAGCGUUAUUGAAGAAAUUGGCAACGAAGGCUGCACCGAUGAUCGCAUUCAAUGGAGCUUUUCUAGCCCAAUCCAAGUCUACUUUUCUAAAUUUCCGUAUCCCCUUUGGAGCUAUUGCAGCGGUUUCCGGUGGCAUAUCAUAUUAUUACUACUUCUCUUUUUCAUCCGUGGUAAUUUCUCCCAACUAUUUCAUCUGUGUUUCGGUCACUUGGUCUGCCACGUCACAGCUCUGUCCUCCACAGAUGGAAAUUGUCAGUUGUUACCGAGCCAUAGUGAGGAAGAUGGAGCAGGCGGCCAUGGCAGCGCACUUCACUGCUUGCUCAAGUAAUAAGAUGAGUAUCAUUGGUCCGGUCGGUUAAUUUUGGUUCAAAGAUUUAGAAGGUAGAGAAAACUUGUGUCAAACCAAACCAAUUUGAAUUAUUAGAAAAUUAAACUGCAAAUAAUAAUAGGACACUUGGCGUAAUAUUAGAGGUGGCAUUGGAUUGGCAUAAAAAAUAUGUCACCGAGGAUCCAAGUGCUUAACAGUUGGGUAAAAGUAAAAAUAACGCAUAUGAAUUUGCAUGCCAUCUCAAAUGCUCGCAUGCAAUAAUAAAUGUCAAAAGUUUAGUCAACAAAAGACCGACCAACGUUUUUUUUUUUUUUUUUUUAUAAUAACAUUCAUCAACCAACAACCUUCCAGGACACCAUGGCACGGCAGUAAAUGGAGUAUAUAUAUAUAUAUAUAUAUAGUAGCAAAACAAGACAAGACAAGAGACAGACUCACUCACAGUAACCUAUUUUAGUCAGAUUGAUUAAUUAAUUUCGGGUUAGUUUGGUUGUCUUUGUCUUCACUCUUCUGUAAUAAAUUGUCACUCAGCGCCGGUGUCGUCCUGUUGGAUUGUUACAAAAUAAUUGAGGAGAAAUAAUUGCGAGGUGGUGGAGUCACUAAUUCGUUGUCCUUCCAAUUCCAAAUCCUUUCUUUCACUGGAUCCUUUCAUUGUGGCUCUAGGUUUUGGUUGGAUGUGGCGGCCGGCAUGAAAGUGACGGAGCAGCCCGCAGAGGCUUUUACGAAAUACCGAAGGCUCGAAUCAUGACAAAGAUUUCCCCAUGAAAUUAAUUAAGCUUCAGAGGGAUACCACACACACAUAUUGCCCUCUUUUAACCGGUGCAUCAUUUCAUUUGAGGGAUGGAUCAUGGAGGAGGGCAUUUUCUGCUUCUCUUAUUUUUCUCCUCUCUUCUCUUCUUGAGUAGUGAAUAGUGAUUGCCCUUCUCAAGUACAGAGUACAGUAGUAGUAUAUAGUAGUAGCAACUACUCUCCGUUUUUGAAUUGUACUGCUCCGUUUCAACAUACUACUGUUACUGGUCAUGAGAAAAAAAUUCUUGCUUCAGUUUCUUGUAUGAGGUAGCAGAAAUCUAUAGGUCGAAACUCGAACGAACGUCCGACAAAUGACCUAAGAAAUGAUUUUCCUGGUGCCCAUUGAUCUAUAGAACCCAAUGGCCUAAAAAAUUAGCUAGCUGAAAACACCACCAUCUCCACGGUCCUGGAACCUCACCGGCAGCCCAAUGUAGAAAAAAAAAAAAAAGAAGAAGAAAACUCAAAUGCUGCUGACUGCUCUGCUGAGUGUCGACUGAGAAGGAAGGAAGGAGAGUAGAGAGAAGAAUGGUGGCCGCCGCCUAUUCGCCGUCUCAUCUCUCUCGCGACCCACACCUCUUCUGUAACUCUCUUUAUCCCACUCACCUCCACCAACUCGGAAUCAUCCCCCAUAACGCCCUCGCUUUUCAUCCUCUCAAGCCCCAUCCAAAACCUUCCCUCUCUAUACCGGCUUCCCAACAACAAUCCCCCUCAAUUUCCCAAAUUCCUCACCGCCCAGAUGCUAAAACCAUCUCUUCUUCCUCAAAAAGCUAUAUCUGGGUCAACCCCAACAGCUAUAUCGGGGUAGGUGCUGCCGGCUCUCAAAUCUCAAAUUUUGCUUACGAUUCCCCAACAGUACUAAUUCAUCUCUCUCUCUCUCUCUCUCUCUCUCUCGGCUAACGGUAAAUGUAAUUUUAUGUGCAUAUCAGGAGACAUACAAAGCAAAAACCUUUGGAGCUAGCUUACUCAUACAUACAAAUUGUGUAUUUAAAAUAAGAAUUAAUAUUUUAUAUACUGAAAAUAAAAAUAUAAUAAUUUUUUUAUACUAAUAAUUUUGAAUAUAAAAUUUAAAUUCAUACUAUAUGGUAUAAUAUAAAUCUGUUAGUGCCCUCUGCAGCUUGUCCCUGGUCGAACCUUGCUGCUAACAAGUUGUGGAGUGUGGAGAAUAGUUUGUGGGAUCCAUUUCCUACGGAUACCCCUAAAAAAUAUAUCUCAGCAUGAUUACGUUACUUGAUUCUCGUCCGACUAUUAUCUUAAAAAGUCUGUUUGGAUUGUGAAUUAUUAGAGAUAUUUUUACUGUAGCACUUUUUGUGAUGUGAUGUAUGUGAGAUAAAAAGGUAAUUGGAAAGGUAAAAAGGUGUAUUGGAAAUUGUAACGAUGAUGUAAACAAAUAAAUUUGAGAAAAUAAAGCCCAAUCUGUUUGGUUAUAUUACAAGCGUCCCAAUUCAAUUAAAUUCCGCUGCGCUGCGCCUUCAAAUGUGUUGUUAACAGUCUACUUAACAAAUAUGCAAUCACUUGCACGACAGAGAGAGAGGAAGGGGACAAUUAACAUUGGAGGAGUCACUAAUCAGUCGAAGUAUACCCCCAGUUACAGUAGUUGAAAAGCCGAUGGCACUUGCACCACCACCACCACCACCAGCACCGACUUCACCUGAACCGUGCUCUCACCCGCCAGUUCCAGUGGGGUUCUGCUGUGUCCCAUGUUCGGAAGGGUACAACGGGGGGCCAUGCUACUAUGGUUAUGGGCGGCCCGCGCCCCCGCCGCCCUGUUAUGAUAGCUAUGGUUUCAGGUACGGGCAUGGGAAGGGAUAUACGGACAGCCGUUGCAAUUAUUUCAAUGAGGACAACACUGGGGGUUGCACGAUUAUGUGAGAGAGGAGUAGAGAAUUUGAUGGGGUGAUUUUACUGAUAUGAUGUGAAGAGCGUCCAAAUUAGUAAUCAAUUAAUUUUGUUUGGUGGGCGGUAAGAGCAAAUGCAUUUGAAGCAUUUAGUAGUAGUAUUGUGUAGUUAGCGCAAACCUUGAGAACAAUCUCCUGAACCUCUUCUUCCUUCUUUUCUUCUUUCUUGUCCCCUUCUUCUUCCUUUUUACUAGUAUCUUCUUUGUUUCCCGGUACUUGUUUCUGUUGCUCCUCCUUGUUCGCUUCCUCUUUCUUCUCCUGCAGCAUACCAUGCAUGAGAUCAAUGAGAAAGUGAUAGCAAAACUUAUUACAGUAGUUACUGGGAUUUCCUUCCGUUCAUUCGAGGGAGCAAUUAGAAUAAUCUUGUGCAAGGAUAUUUGGAAGUAGAAAACUAAAAACUUACUUCGCCCAUAUCGUCUAACUCUGACAAGCCCCUCUUCCUAGUCCUAGCUAAUACUACUAAUCAGUAGUAUAUAUGUUUAUAUAGAAUGUAUUACUGCAGGGAGGAGGGGGGGGGGGGAUCGUGGAGAUUUUCUUAUACAAGAAAUGAAAUGAAAUGAGAGCAAGGACCCUUUCUCUCAGUAUAGUAGGCAUACAGCAAGCUCGGGGCUUUGGGGUGAAGGAAAAUGGGAAGAGAGGAACGUUUAAUUUAAGUAGCGGGUGGUCGCGGUCUGGUGGUACUGCCUACACUGCCCGGUGCCCACUGCUGCGGCUGCUCCAAAAUUCCAAAUUUCUUUAAAGCGAGUUGCCUACGGUGCUGUCCUUCAGCUGACUCAGCACCUCAUAAUUUUGGCCCCCUGCUUAUGAUUCUAUCUCCGACUACGAGUACAUCAUCUGCAAAUGUAGUAGUCGCCUUUGACUGAUUAAAUAGUAGUCUGACACUACAGUAAUUUAGGAAAAAAUAUAUAUAGUAAAUAAAAUCUUGCAUACGUAGAAGUUAAUGGAAAGGAAAUACUACGAAUUAUUACGGAGAUGGAUGGGAAAGGAUUCCAACUUUGUAAAAGCCCUUGGAGUUAUCCUGCAAGCAAAAACCAAACGAAUGGUCGGCCUGGUAAGGGCUAUCAGGAUCUUUAAAAAAGAAAAGUUGGAAUCUAGCGGGACCUCCCCGCCCCCAAUUUACGACCAGUUUUCAGGAAACCAUUCACUGUAUAUAUGUGACGCUUCUGGCUUCCGCUCAUGUAUAUAAUCUGCUGUAACUAUUGUGUGUGUGUGUGUGUGUAUAGGAGUAUGUUUUUUGAUGACUAAUGUAACUAUUGGAAUUACUCAACUUCCUUCUUCGAUUACAUUACAUACUUGAUCGGCUAUAUUAUUUUGAUGAUCCCAAAUUAAUUAAGAUGAUCGACCUUGUAAUAAUGAUUAAUUAAUUGGUUAGAAAAUAAUUCCAAUUUACCACUUGCUUCCACAUGUCAUCACAUAGUUCUUGAGAACUAGUUGUUGCCUAAAUACAAAACAGGCUUCUGCCUACUUUUGAAUUUUGGCUUCCAUAGGAGGGUACAAGCGUGUAUACGAAAUCUUUAACUCUUCAGAAUUGAAGCUGCAAGUGCAAGAUUUAAGCAUCCGAAAGCAAUUAAUUUAAUGCCAUAUGCUACGGCUAUUGGAUUAGGCAAUAAUUUGCUAGUACUUACUAUAGCUUAAUGACUUAAUCGGCUAAUUACAGAAAUUAAUGCAGAAGAGGUCAACAGGCACUACUCGAAGACAAGCCACAAAAUCCAGGUGCGAUGAGGAAAAAGAAAAUUAAGUGAAAUCUAUAUACUAUUUCUUCAUGCAUGGCUGUCCCUUUUUGUUUACCCAUCUAAGGUUAAAUUUCUAUCUCAAAAUUCCUCGGGUUAAAUGAGUACCACAAGUUUUCUUGGGGAGACCUUUUUAAAGAUUUGUAGAACAUGCACAAGGAUAAUAACUUCAGUAGGAGUAUGUUUUUUGAUGACUACUGUAACUAUUUUAACUGCAGCGGGAUAAAUAUACUGGACGGACCAUAGCUUCAACAUUGCACGUUAUGGGAAAGAUUGUAAGUUGCUGUUCAAAUGUUUUGACGACAUCUUUAAACUUAGCAAGACGCAAAAUGUUAAAACAGAAAAACAGACGUACAAGUGCAGGAAGGAACAAUUAACGCAGCACAUUUCCUCAUCAUUCCAAGAGAGAUCGAACACUAGUAUACGUCUAAAAGCGAGUAGUAAUAAUAUUUUGCAAGAGGCAAAAAAACAACGGCAGUAAAAAAGAAAAUAGAAAAGUUGGGGGAAGAAGGACAAGUUUUGGCGAAUAGACAAAGAGUAACCGACGUCCCGAAGUGGGGCGAUUUUUUUUUUUCAAAAGCUUUGCGUACACUAACAUAUCAUGUAUAGUGAUGAAGACGGUAUACUUGUCUAGGAGGGAUGGCAAGGUUAUCCUGACCUGAAAUCACAGAGAAAGAAGCGGCCACCACAAUUUAAAGGACGGGGCUGUAACAUUUGACAAAGACGGCAGCCCACUGCAUAAGUGGUCCAAGUUCCAUGGAUGGAUCUUGCGUUUCUCAAAUGGUUGAAUUCUUCGAUACUAUCAUCACAACGUGUUAGUACAUGAUACGUUAUUAUUUUGAUUUCACACCGUACCUAGUUUAUAUAUUGGAUUGGAUGAAGAAAGACAAUUCAUAUUCAUGUCCAACGGCAUUUUGCCUGCUGCCUGGCUCUGCACUCUGCAGCCAGUCUCAUGGGCCUCACCGUGUAGUUUCAAGAGUGAGCCCAUAGAAUUGCUACGAACAGAUCUGGGUUUCAAGAUGGGCCGCCACUCCUUUCCUUCAUCAAUUCCUCCAGUAUACACAAUCCACUCAUCUAGGCAAGUGACGAUCAUUCGUUAUUCAAUUCCAGGGUACCUGAUCCACUCAACUAGUCUAGGCAUGUGACGAUUAUUCGUUAUUCAAUUCCAGGGUACGAACAGAUCCAUUCAACUAGUCGAGUCAAGUGACGAUCAGUCGUUAGCUGGCAAACUUUGAGGCUUAUGCUUCAUCCGGGACCUAACUUUUGGUAGGGCAGUAUUGAUAACUGGUUUUGCAGAAAAAAAAAAAUUCUGUUGUUCAAGUUGCAAAAGCAUGAGGUGUAAAUCUUCCGAGGGUUGAACUUAGAAUGCUGUCCAAAAUAAAUUUGACUAGUUGUAAGGGCAAGAGAAGACAGGUCAGAUACAUAAAAGGGAUAAUUUAGAAACCUCCCUUGAGGUUUUCAAUAAUUUCAUUGACCUCUCUUGAGGUUUGUAAAAUUACACUAACCUCCCUCAAGGUUUAGAUUUCGGUAACAAAAUUAGUCCAAAUCAGAAAAAUUACCAUUAAAAAUGUAUUUUGCGAAGAGAGAUAAACUUUUAUUCCAUAAAUGCCCUUAUGCUUGUGUACAAGUUGUAUUGUAAAGGAGUAAAAAAUAUAUUAAUAAAAGCGUGGGAAGGUAAGCGCAAAUAGUAAAGAACAAAAAAUAAGUAGCAACUGACUUUCUCUACAAAGUUGGACCAACGGGUAGUGCAUUAGAUUAUAAUGGAUAUUUUUCAGAUCUUCACCAUUUUGCAUAUAAAGGAACCAAGAAGGAUUAAGAUGGAUCUCACUUUUACUUGAAGCAGUAAAAGUUGAUGUGUAAAAAUAGUUUUGGAUGUGAUGUAUUAUGACUUUGAGCUGCUUUACGUCAAUUUAACUUUUUUCUUUAGUUGUUUACUUUUUCUUUUUUUCGGAAACAUUAACGAUGUAUUGAUCAUAAGAAACUUUACAACAAAAGUUGGGCAAAGGGCUCCAGCAAAGCUUUACAACAGUGCAUACGCUCGCACUUAUAAGGAGUAAUGUUUGAAGCGUGAACGCUAAGCCUAUGACAUAAAUCCAUCAUAUUUGUGGUAUUUUUUUUUGUAAUCUAAAAGGGCACAUUCGAAACAGUUUAGCUAAGUCCUUAAUGUCUUCCACACCAAUUUGGUGUGAUCAAUUGAAAUGUCCUUGCUGGACAGAUGAAAGCGAGUUCUUGUCCCUGAUGCCGACCAUCGCCCGUUCAGCCACCAACUCCUAUUCCCAUUUUCGUCAGUUGUUUACAAAUUAGCAGUGAAUUAUUUCCACUCCUACUUUAUCUAUCUUCUAGGAACAUAAAGAGUAGUAAAGCAGCAGUGCAGUGGGGCGGGGUAGGUGCUGCCGGCUCUCAAAUCUCAAAUUUUGCUUAGGAUUCCCCAACAGUAGUAAUUCAUCACUUCUAUGUUUACACUUUACACUUGCAUCCGGAAUGAAUGUUGUCACAAAAUCCAUCCAACAAAGUCAUCAUGUAUAUGUUAAACCCCCGAUAUAAUAACCAAACUGGUAAUAAAUAGUUAGUGGCUUUACCGUUGUUAGGAUGGAAUUCGUGUGUUGAUAUUUUUUUUUUUUAAAAAAUAAAAUUAAAUAAAAAAAGUAUAUAAACACAAGAUAAGAUAAUAAUAAUUAUCAAUAUGUACGCUUACAUGUGGUUUAUUAGAUGUGAUUUAAGUGUCGUAAUGAUUGCCCAACGAGUAUUACUCAGUAGAAAAAAAAAAUUCAUAGUUAAUUGCAAAGGGCAUAGGAUAAUGAACUUCUUGAUAAUAAUAAGAUAACGACAUUUUUGGCCUGGUCUUUUAAUUUAUGGGAUUGAUUGAUGGCUCUGUACGGUGGUAUUACCACACACGCUAACAAGUUUGGUACGUGUCUACAUGAAAACUGUCGGUGUUAAUAAAGAGUCUUUCCUCCGCCAUCCUCAUUUGCUUUUGGCUUUCUUUCGUACGAUUUCUUUUUCUUUUUCUUUCUCUCUCUCUCUCCCUUUUGGCUAACGGUAAAUGUAAUUUUAUGAGCAUAUCAGGAGACACACAAAGCAAAAACCUUUGGAGCUAGCUUACUCAUACAUAAAAAUUGUGUAUUUAAAAUAAGAAUUAAUAUUUUAUAUAUUGAAAAUAAAAAUGUAGUGAUUUUUUUACAUACUAAUAAUUUUGAAUAUAAAAUUUAAAUUCAUACUAUGUGGUAUAAUAUAAAUCUGUUAGUUUUUUUUUUUUUUUUUUUUUGUCAACACAGGGGUGUCCGGGUCAAGACCCGAAGGCGGCCCGACUAAUCCCCUGCGCCUGGAGUACAGCGCCACCCCAACCGCACCCAGGCGUUAGGUGAGGUUCGAUCCCACGACCUUGCGAGUGAUUUUCCAGCCGCAGACCGGGUGAUCUAACCCGGGAGUAGAAAAAGUUAUCCUUAAACCAACAAUAAUAAUCAUAAUUUUUGUGAGCAUUAGUUAAAUCUCAGCAUGAUUACCCUUGAAAUGUGUUGUUAACGGUCUACUUAACAAAUAUAUGCAGUCACUUGCACGAGAGAGAGAGAGAGAGAGAGAGGAAGGGGACAAUUAACAUUGGAGGAGUCACUAAUCAGUCGAAGUAUAGAUUGAUGCCACGCCCAAAAAAGCAAAAAAUAAAAAAUUGUGUAGUGUAAAAUGGUUGGCCCAUGUGGGGGAGAUGCAUCAUAUGCUUGGAUAAGCUCAUAAUUUCCAUCAUCAGUACUCACUACUAAUAACUUCAUUACUGUCAUUAAUAGUCAUCAUGGUUUCGUGGGAAUUGGUAAUAUAAAUAAUAAAAUAUAUUUUGGAAGGUGAGGUGGGCAUAUCAAAAUUCAAAGGCAGCAACGAACGGAGUAUGGAGGAUGGAUGUUGAUGGAGCGUCACAACUCAGCAAUUCCAGGCCACCACAUAUGCCUAGCCUACCUUACCUUACCUCAUACGCCCGUAUUAGAAAGCAGCAAAAUUCAACGCCCCUUUCAUUUCGUUUCCACCCUCCCUCCUUCCUUCCAUACUAUUACUAGGGAGUAGUAGUUAGCACUGCAAGCUGCCCGGUUGCCAUCUUUCUACAUAAAGUCCUCCCACUUUUUUCUACCUAAUUGCCUCCUACCGUCUAAUUCUUCCACCAUUUAUUAGCAUCAGUUUAGUAGUAUACUGCUUGCUUGCUUGCCUGCCUACAUCCCUUCCCCACUCCCCGACUCUUCCGCUCCCGCACCCAACUCCCCAACCAUUUAUUGUCAUUUGGGCUGUGGAUUCUUGAUCAGAUCCACCCAUCGCCACUGAUCACUGACUCCUUCCUUCAUCAACCAUGGCUGAGAAGGUAAGCCAAUUCUCCUGCUAGCUUUCCCAACCAUCCCUCAAAUGUUCGUGAUAUAUUAUUGUUUUGCAUCUUUUUUUUAGUAGUGUUUGCUUGCUCAAUCUGAAAAUUAUAAUUGCAAGUCUAUGACAGCACAUACAACGCGAGAUAUGCUUGCUUCUCUUUAUAUCAAGAUCUCUACCCACAUCUCCCAGCGUAAACCAUAUAAUUGUGCAUUUCUUGAUUGUUAUAUAUAUAUAUAUACACACACACAUGUAUGGAUCGAGUUUGACUAUUUUGCUCCGAUAAUAUAUAUGCAACCAUACAGGUGACUACGAUGAGACUCAAGGUUGAUCUUCAAUGCCCCUGCUGCUACAAGAAGGUCAAGAAAAUCCUCUGCAAAUUUCCUCGUGAGUCUCUUUAUGUUUUCAAUACCAGUAGAGUAGUAGUAGUUCUUCUUUAGAGCAAGUACAGUUAGUUGAAGGACAUCCACCGUUCCACCGACUAUGUACAUGGAUAGGCAUGUGCGCCACCAUGAGCUACAGUUUUUUUUAAAAAUAAUUUUUUCCCCUUCUCCAUGAUUAUUUAUUAGCCGAGUUCAACAACAAAAGUUGGGUAGUGUGGCUUAUGAAACUACUUGUGAUCAGUUAGUGGCUUUAAUUUGUAUGGACAAGAAUUUGAGUUUUUCUUUUUUUUUUUUCUUUUGUUGGGGGUGAUGCUCAAUGUUUUUGGACAAGAGAAAUCAGAGACCAGAUAUAUGAUGAGAAGCAAAAUCUGGUGACCAUCACCGUCGUGUGCUGUAGCCCCGAGAAAAUCCGCGACAAAUUAUGUUGCAAGGGUGGCAAAGUCAUUAAGAGCAUUGAGAUCGUGGAGCCACCAAAGCCCAAGCCACCGCCGGAGAAGCCUAAAGAGCCCGAAAAGCCUAAGCCACCCCCAGAAAAGCCCAAAGAGCCGGAAAAGCCCAAGCCACCCCCAGAAAAGCCCAAAGAGCCGGAAAAGCCCAAGCCACCUCCAGAAAAGCCGAAGGAGCCCGAAAAGCCCAAGCCACCCCCGGAAAAGCCCAAAGAGCCGGAAAAGCCCAAGCCACCUCCAGAAAAGCCGAAGGAGCCCGAAAAGCCCAAGCCACCUCCAGAAAAGCCCAAACCACUACCACCACCACCUGAACCGUGCUCGCACCCACCAGUUCCAGUGGGCUUUUGUUGUGUCCCAUGUUCGGAAGGGUACGGCGGGGGACCAUGCUACUACGGGUACGGGUACGGGUACGGGCGGCCUGUGCCCCCGCCACCUUGUUAUGAUAGCUAUGCUUACGGGUACGGAUAUGGGAAGGGGUACCCGUACAGUCGCUGCGAUUAUUUCAGUGAGGAGAACAGUACGGGUUGCACGAU